UGAAUCCACUGAUGAGAUUAGCCCCCCAAUGUCCAAUCAGUCACCUCGCAAGUCCCAACUCAGACUUGUGGGGACGUUCCAAGUCUAAAGCCUAAUACAGAGUAGGGGAUAACAGUAAUAAUUAAACGGAACAAUCAUAGGUAGAUAAUAAAGCUACUAACACCACUAUGUGCUUUGUGCUUUGCGGCCAUUAUUAAGUAAUAACGUUCGUUCUGCAGACAUAAACUCUGCCACACUCAAGGAGCAACGGAUAAGCAGCGCCGCCAUGGAACCAGUGAUCAGAGGGGGCAAUGGGACGGUGUCUUCCUAACUCCAAACCAUGAGCAGUGUCCGGAGCCUGUCUAACCUCUCAGACCGUGGGAGGCGAUGGCAUUUAAUGUAUUGGCUGGAUGGCACAGCAUUCCAUUUAAUGAAGUCAAAUGAGGGCUACAUCUUCAAUUUUCUGAGCCUAACGAUCAAACAGAAGCAGCCUAGAUAA
rnacentral:lncRNA from 1 species